rnacentral:rRNA from 1 species
AUAUCAAUAAGCGGAGGAAAAGAAACCAACAGGGAUUGCCCUAGUAACGGCGAGUGAAGCGGCAACAGCUCAAAUUUGAAAUCUGGCCCUAGGCCCGAGUUGUAAUUUGUAGAGGAUGCUUUUGGUGCGGUACUUUCCGAGUUCCCUGGAACGGGACGCCUUAGAGGGUGAGAGCCCCGUACGGUUGGAUACCUAGCCUCUGUAAAGCUCCUUCGACGAGUCGAGUAGUUUGGGAAUGCUGCUCAAAAUGGGAGGUAAAUUUCUUCUAAAGCUAAAUACCGGCCAGAGACCGAUAGCGCACAAGUAGAGUGAUCGAAAGAUGAAAAGCACUUUGAAAAGAGGGUUAAAUAGCAC